rnacentral:rRNA from 1 species
CGGGGAAUUUUGGACAAUGGGCGAAAGCCUGAUCCAGCAAUGCCGCGUGUGUGAAGAAGGCCUUCGGGUUGUAAAGCACUUUUGUCCGGAAAGAAAUCCUUGGCUCUAAUACAGUCGGGGGAUGACGGUACCGGAAGAAUAAGCACCGGCUAACUACGUGCCAGCAGCCGCGGUAAUACGUAGGGUGCAAGCGUUAAUCGGAAUUACUGGGCGUAAAGCGUGCGCAGGCGGUUUGCUAAGACCGAUGUGAAAUCCCCGGGCUCAACCUGGGAACUGCAUUGGUGACUGGCAGGCUAGAGUAUGGCAGAGGGGGUAGAAUUCCACGUGUAGCAGUGAAAUGCGUAGAGAUGUGGAGGAAUACCGAUGGCGAAGGCAGCCCCCUGGGCCAAUACUGACGCUCAUGCACGAAAGCGUGGGGAGCAAACAGGAUUAGAUACCCUGGUAGUCCACGCCCUAAACGAUGUCAACUAGUUGUUGGGGAUUCAUUUCCUUAGUAACGUAGCUAACGCGUGAAGUUGACCGCCUGGGGAGUACGGUCGCAAGAUUAAAACUCAAAUGAAUUGACGGGGUCAUAGCUGUUUCCU